GACAGAGGGUGCAAACGUUGUUCGGAAUUACUGGGCGUAAAGCGAGUGUAGGCGGUCUGUAAAGUCGGGUGUGAAAGCCCCGGGCUCAACCCGGGAAGUGCACUCGAAACUCACAGGCUAGAGUAUCGGAGAGGUUGGUGGAAUUCUCGGUGUAGAGGUGAAAUUCGUAGAUAUUGGGAAGAACACCAGUGGCGAAGGCGGCUAACUGGUCCGGAUCUGACGCUGAGGUGCGAAAGCGUGGGGAGCAAACAGG
rnacentral:rRNA from 1 species